UGCAGCCUUGUCAAAUUCAGUGUGUUCUAUACUGUGAACUGCACUGGCCAGAAUGGCUGCGACAGAGACGGUAGUUCAUGGGCCCCACUACCUUACAUCACAGGUGAUGGGGAUAAAUAUGUACUACAGACAAAU
rnacentral:snoRNA from 1 species